rnacentral:rRNA from 1 species
UACGUAGGGUCCGAGCGUUGUCCGGAGUUACUGGGCGUAAAGCGCGCGCAGGCGGCGGUGCUGGCCCGGCGUGAAAGCCCCCGGCUCAACCGGGGGAGGGUCGUCGGGGACCGCACCGCGUUGAGGGCGGUAGGGGCUGGUGGAAUGCCUGGUGUAGUGGUGAAAUGCGUAGAGAUCAGGCGGAACACCCGUGGCGAAGGCGGCCAGCUGGGCCGUCCCUGACGCUGAGGCGCGAAGGCGUGGGGGGCGAACGGGG